AUACUUACCUGGCGCAGGAGUUAACCGUGAUCACCAAGGCGGUUCUCCCAGGGCGAGGCCUGUCCAUUGCACUUCGGAUGGGUUGACCUCUGCGAGUAUCCCAAAUGUGGAUACCUCGGGCGUAUAAUUUUUGAUAGUCGGGACUGCGUUCGCGCUGUCCCGG
rnacentral:snRNA from 1 species